rnacentral:rRNA from 1 species
GAUGAACGCUGGCGGCGUGCCUAAUACAUGCAAGUCGAGCGAACAGAUAAGGAGCUUGCUCCUUUGACGUUAGCGGCGGACGGGUGAGUAACACGUGGGUAACCUACCUAUAAGACUGGGAUAACUUCGGGAAACCGGAGCUAAUACCGGAUAAUAUUUCGAACCGCAUGGUUCGAUAGUGAAAGAUGGUUUUGCUAUCACUUAUAGAUGGACCCGCGCCGUAUUAGCUAGUUGGUAAGGUAACGGCUUACCAAGGCGACGAUACGUAGCCGACCUGAGAGGGUGAUCGGCCACACUGGAACUGAGACACGGUCCAGACCCCUACGGGAGGCAGCAGUAGGGAAUCUUCCGCAAUGGGCGAAAGCCUGACGGAGCAACGCCGCGUGAGUGAUGAAGGUCUUCGGAUCGUAAAACUCUGUUAUUAGGGAAGAACAUACGUGUAAGUAACUGUGCACGUCUUGACGGUACCUAAUCAGAAAGCCACGGCUAACUACGUG